rnacentral:rRNA from 1 species
UACGGGGGGGGGCAAGCGUUUGUUCGGAAUUACUGGGCGUAAAGGGCGCGUAGGCGGCCUGCUAAGUCGGAUGUGAAAUCCCUCGGCUCAACCGAGGAACUGCAUCCGAUACUGGCGGGCUUGAAUCCGGGAGAGGGAUGUGGAAUUCCAGGUGUAGCGGUGAAAUGCGUAGAUAUCUGGAGGAACACCGGUGGCGAAGGCAGGUCUCUGGGCAUUAACUGACGCUGAGGAGCGAAAGCAUGGGGAGCGAACAGG